rnacentral:rRNA from 1 species
CCUACGGGAGGCAGCAGUGGGGAAUAUUGAACAAUGGGGGAAACCCUGAUGCAGCGACGCCGCGUGAAGGAAGUAGUAUUUCGGUAUGUAAACUUCUAUCAGCAGGGAAGAAAAUGACGGUACCUGACUAAGAAGCACCGGCUAACUACGUGCCAGCAGCCGCGGUAAUACGUAGGGGGCAAGCGUUAUCCGGAUUUACUGGGUGGAAAGGGGGCGCAGACGGCGCUGCAAGCCAGGAGGGAAAGCCCGGGGCCCAACCCCGGGACU